UACGUAGGGACCAAGCGUUGUUCGGAUUUACUGGGCGUAAAGGGCGCGUAGGCGGCGUGUCAAGUCAAUUGUGAAAUCUCCGAGCUUAACUCGGAACGGUCAAUUGAUACUGAUGUGCUAGAGUACAGAAGGGGCAAUCGGAAUUCUUGGUGUAGCGGUGAAAUGCGUAGAUAUCAAGAGGAACACCUGAGGUGAAGACGGGUUGCUGGGCUGAUACUGACGCUGAGAAGCGAAAGCAUGGGGAGCGAACAGG
rnacentral:rRNA from 1 species